rnacentral:rRNA from 1 species
GAUGAACGCUGGCGGCGUGCCUAAUACAUGCAAGUCGAGCGAACAGACGAGGAGCUUGCUCCUCUGACGUUAGCGGCGGACGGGUGAGUAACACGUGGAUAACCUACCUUUAAGACUGGGAUAACUUCGGGAAACCGGAGCUAAUACCGGAUAAUAUAUUGAACCGCAUGGUUCAAUAGUGAAAGACGGUUUUGCUGUCACUUAUAGAUGGAUCCGCGCCGCAUUAGCUAGUUGGUAAGGUAACGGCUUACCAAGGCAACGAUGCGUAGCCGACCUGAGAGGGUGAUCGGCCACACUGGAACUGAGACACGGUCCAGACUCCUACGGGAGGCAGCAGUAGGGAAUCUUCCGCAAUGGGCGAAAGCCUGACGGAGCAACGCCGCGUGAGUGAUGAAGGUCUUCGGAUCGUAAAACUCUGUUAUUAGGGAAGAACAAAUGUGUAAGUAACUAUGCACGUCUUGACGGUACCUAAUCAGAAAGCCACGGCUAACUACGUG